rnacentral:rRNA from 1 species
CCUACGGGCGGCAGCAGUGAGGAAUAUUGGUCAAUGGCCGAGAGGCUGAACCAGCCAAGUCGCGUGCGGGAAGACGGCCCUACGGGUUGUAAACCUCUUUUGUCGGGGAGCAAAGCGCGUCACGUGUGACUCAUUGGGAGUACCCGAUGAAAAAGCAUCGGCUAACUCCGUGCCAGCAGCCGCGGUAAUACGGAGGAUGCGAGCGUUAUCCGGAUUUAUUGGGUUUAAAGGGUGCGCAGGCGGAGGUGCAAGUCAGCGGUAAAAUUGCGGGGCUCAACCCCGUACUGCCGUUGAAACUGCAUCGCUUGAGUGCGCGGAAAGUAUGCGGAAUGCGUGGUGUAGCGGUGAAAUGCAUAGAUAUCACGCAGAACUCCGAUUGCGAAGGCAGCAUACGGGCGCGCAACUGACGCUGAUGCACGAAGGCGUGGGUAUCGAACAGGAUUAGAUACCCGUGUAGUC